ACCCUGGUUUCAUCCUCGUUUAUGUACUUGUUUUUUUGUUAUUUUUUUUUUUUUUUAACUCGGUGAGGCAGGUAGCGGCUGGUUUCGGAAGAGUGCCAGAGAAUUUUUUCGGGCGUGGUUCUCUUUCGAACGCGAUCGAUAGGUCGUGUUAUGUAAGAGAUUCCAGACCGUCUUAAUUUUAACGAGGGAGUUUUGGAACAGAGCGGAUUUGGAUAGACACAAAAGACAUGUACUAGUUUCGUGAUAGUUAUUUGCUAUUUGUUCCCGGAGCCAUCGAAGAGGAAAGCGGAAAUCCUGUCAAGAGUUGCAGGGCAGGAGCAGUACCAUUCGUCGAAAACGGGGGUGUUGAACAUUUGGUGGAUGGAAGGAAAAGCGCCAGCCAUUUCGCAUUGCGGAUCUAUAAAGGCGUUUAUGACGAUAAAAAUGGUUAAGUUUAGAUUCUUCUCUUCGCUUACGGAGGGGGAUAAACGUAAUAAAGAGGGGGUGGAAUAUAUUUCGUUCUAUUUUUGAGACCUUUUUAAUAGUCUCUCAGGCGGAAAGAAUAGUUUAGGUCGUCGUCCUCAUGCCAGUUUUGAUGCAUUCGUCACUUUCGCGCACCCCCCGAUACUUAUCUAGUAUCUGGGACGUUGCUUGGCUGGAAAAUUGCGGUGCGAAACGCGAUAUUGAAUGUCAUUCAUGUUUUAAUAUCCUUACUGCAUCGAUUCGACGCUGUUUCGAAAUUGGAAUUAUGUACAGCUGCCUCGUGCUUAAGUGGCCCGGAAGGUGGAUGGAGAUAUAUCGAAUAACUAUUCUUUUAACCGUCAUUCGAUAUUUUUCGAACGUUGCCUCGCCAGUCACGUGAACGAAUUGGGUAACUAGUUUCUGAGCGUGUUUACCAUGCCAGGGACACUACAGAUCAGAAACGGGCUUAACGCUUCAUUCUGUUAGAAACAAGCAGGUGUUAAUUUAUAGAAUGUGUUGAAAAUUCGCUUUUAUAUACAAUACACUUUUAUAACAAGUAUAAUUUUCGGUAUAAAUUCUCCCCGCGCUAUACCAAAAAAAUUCCUAAGUAAAUCGGAUUAUCGAAUGCUCUUUUUUUGUCCCCCGACGAUAACCAGGUUUUCCGAUCGAUUUUUUCGUCCAAAAGUGGAACUUGUUAACGAGAUCGCGCGUUUAAAGCCGGAGUAAUUCUCAAAAAUAGAUUGAUUAGUGGGACAAUGUCCGUUUACAAGGCCUUGAACGAGGCCGGGUACAAAUGAGUUGUUAUAGUGCGGGAAAGAGCGCCGAUGCAUCACAGUCUUUCGCCUUUUGUCUGCUUGGCUGUUUCGAUCUAGUCUUCCAUUUUACCUGAACCGUGUCUUUCGAUUUGGACGGCUGCCAUUUUUCUUUCUACUGUAUAUUUUUUUUUCUUUUAUCGUCAUCAUCACAAAGAAUUGCGAAACGUACUGGAAUACCAGACUCGUAAAAAAAAAAACGGUUACAUACGCCGUGCGGGAAUGUGCGAGUUUGCGGAUAGAGCACAUUGCGUUUACCACUUAAAAUAUUAUCUGUUUUUGUAUGUUUGUACUCUCCCACUUUCCCAGCAACAGGUUCUGCAAGUCGUCGUCAUUACAAUCUAGUUAAGCCAGGCUAGAGGUAGUCGGGUAUGUGUACCUGGAGGCCAUAGGACCGACUCAUAACCGUAAACGAGGGGUGGUGGAAAGGACUCUGAACGACACGUUCCUGGAACCGAGCCAAGUCUAUAUUUAAUGUUGAUACGAGGUGCAUCCGACUUUCCGCAUUUCGGUGUAUCACUACUUACAAUGCUUUUUGUUAUCUGGGGACUUUGGUCGAGAGAGACACGUUUUAAUCCCAUGCAACUCAUUCCCGCUCUACCCACGCCAUUUAAAUGUGGAUCGUUCUAGCUACGGUCGUGUACGUGUAGUGCAGUUUUUUCUACUAUGUACACCCUAUUCGGUUAAUAAUAGCUUUAAUGGAAGAAUAUUGUUAGUUAAAAUAUUUUUCCUUAAAGAGAACAAUAUACUUUAUACAAAAAUGAUGCUACCUGAACAAUAGAAGAAUUUUUUGAAUUCAUAAUCAUAUUUUAAUAUCGUAAUUAAUGCUGAAUUAGCGUAUUUUAUUUCUUUAGCAGUACAAAGUACAAUAAAUUGCGUUUGUGAUUAUUACUUAAAUUUAUAUCUAUAUUGCAUUUAAGUCGAUUCCGCUGUUAGUUUUUCUUUUUAAUCUAUAAUGAAAUGUUUACCCUUGGAAUUGAUUUUGUUGUACAAAGUCCUUGAUAUGAAUAAUAUGUGGAAAGAAAAUUUUCCUGUGACUCAUACGUAGAGAAUGGCUCAUUUAAUAGCAGCUGUUUUUCCUCUAUGAUGAUUUAAACCAAAAAUUGAUGAUGAAAUCAAUCAUGUGAAUUUAAAACAAAAUUUUGUGCCUAACAGUGAUGAGUUUUAUUGCUAUUUUUGUUUAUUAAUUUUAACAAUAGCU
rnacentral:lncRNA from 1 species